rnacentral:rRNA from 1 species
GACGAACGCUGGCGGCGUGCUUAACACAUGCAAGUCGAGCGGUAAGGCCCUUUCGGGGGUACACGAGCGGCGAACGGGUGAGUAACACGUGGGUGACCUGCCCUCAGCUCUGGGAUAAGCCUGGGAAACCCGGUCUAAUACUGGAUAUGACUCCAUGACGCAUGUUGUGGGGUGGAAAGCCUUGUGCGGCUGAGGAUGGGCCCGCGGCCUAUCAGCUUGUUGGUGGGGUGAGGCCUACCAAGGCGACGACGGGUAGCCGGCCUGAGAGGGCGACCGGCCACACUGGGACUGAGACACGGCCCAGACUCCUACGGGAGGCAGCAGUGGGGAAUCUUGCGCAAUGGGCGAAAGCCUGACGCAGCGACGCCGCGUGAGGGAUGACGGCCU